CUGAACGAAGAGUCCGGCUAUGCGAAGAGCAUUAAAAUCUUCAUGCAACUUCAUCCGCAAAUAUGAGGAAAGCUGCAACAUUCGCCUCGCAAAGAACGGCGUGCUUAGAAGGGGCGAAAUCCCUUCUCCAGAUGUUAUGGAGCCACUGCUUCCGACGCACGACAUUCCGUUCACCUCGGGGGAUAUAAAAUAAGGCUUGCCCUUUCUCUGACCUGCUGCUGCAUUGAAACGCGCAGCAGCAAGGCAUUUUCACUGAAAACGAAGCUCAGAUUCCUACGAAAGGAUUGAAAAACUUGGGAAACACACGUUCGGAGCGGCAGGGCGACCACUACUUGGACUGCUCAUGGCGAGCGGGAGAAACCAAAGGCGCGCGAAAGCAAGUUCCGCGCAGUUUUCGUGACGUCAGGGUCACCUGACCGGGUAGUCUCGCGCGCCGCAGCCAUUCAGCGUGGCGGAUGCGCUGCCUCCGCGAAAGAGGGGGAGAAAAGGAGGAGGUUGACCGCGCCGGCGAGGGUGUGGCGGCGUAGAUCAAAGCGUGUCGCUACUUUCUAACAUCAAGGGGCUUUAUGGCCAGCAGCACCGCCGCACCGCGCCGCGGCUGCCGUAACCUCGAAACCGCACGUGUCAAUCCGUUGCCAGCCGUAGCUUAGCCAAGCCAAACCUCACUGUGUUCGUUCGCGUGUUGUUUUGUCAGCUCUGCCAGCUCUGCGGUCGUGUCUGCGGUUGAUCGUUUGCUGCUGCGCGCUAUCUUCAACCUCGAGCUAUGUGCGGAGUUGACCGAUGACGAAAUCAUUCGUCAAGUUACGGAGGAUUCCGACGACUCCGACACCGAGAACGAAGAGCCAGCUCCUACACAGCCAACGAGCUCGGAGUUGACGCGAGCACUGAUGACACUGUCAUCGGUGUACAGCGGCAACAUGACGUUGACUGAAAUUGAGGCAGACAUGAUCGCGGGCAAGCGGACCGUGCAAAAUAAAAUAAGCGACUUCUUUGCGCCCAAGUGCUGACCUA